GGCAGCAGCAGCACUAACGGCGGCACCAACAGCGGCGGUAGCAGCAGUAGCGGCGGCGGCACCAACGGCAGCGGCACCAGCGGCGGCGGCAGCAGCAGCACCAGCAGCACCGGCAGCGGCGGCAGCAGCAGCAGGGACUGGAAGGACUCCACCCUGACAGACCGGGUGACAGGCGCCUCCCCCGCUGUGUCCUGGGAGGCUUCUUCCCAGAUGAUGACAGAUGAGGCCAGACUCCCUCAGGACAGCCCGGACACCACCCUCAGACAAGGAGAUGCUUGGACGUCCCACACAGCCGUCCACACCGACAGCACCUACACCUCCACCGACAUCAGCCGCGCUGGGGAGAGGACCCUGCUGUCCGUCACCUCCUCUUCCAGCAACCACACCUCCUCCGCCUUUACAGAGGACUCCAACUCCCAUCAGGCUACAGACACUGAGGACUACACCCGCAGCGCCCUGUCCACCAGGACUGACAGCGGGGACACAACAGACCUACAACACAGUACCAGCUCAUUUAAGGCGGGAUUUCCAGAGACCGGGAGUUCAGGAGGGACCCAGAGUUUAACCGGACAACCUAAUGUUACCGACCCUCGAUACACCGCCACAUCAGAGGAGACCUCCGACUCGACUCCGCCUCUCAGAGUGACGGAGCUCAGCACUGAGAGAUCUGAAGUGUCCGUGUCCUCCUCACCAUCCGUCACCUCGCCUGCAGGAGGUCCUGUAAACGUCUCCUGGACAGAGCAGGGGCGGGGCUUCAGUGUGACAGCCUCCACUGAGUCCUCCAGCGUGGGGCACAGCUCCAGCACCCAGAACCAGGAGGGCACUGAGGGGGCUUCAGCCCACACCAGGGAGGACCUCGGGGACGUGGGCCUGACCAUAGUGCCCCCUACUGUCAGCAGUAGAACGUUGGAAGUGGACAGUCCGCUAACAGACACUCCAGUGCUGGUUACUGAGGCCUUCCUCACCACCACAGCUGGUACUGUUACAGACAGACCAAAGAUAAUAGAGGAAGACACUUUUAAAGCCACUUCCUCCUCGACCACCACCACCUCCACUCCUCUAGCUCCAACCUCAUCCUCUGGGUUCAGCAGCACCGCCAUCAGCUCUACCACAGACUCGCCCCCCGAGGCCACCGUCCCGUACACUACCCCCUCCACUACCCCCUCCACUACCCCCUUCACCACCUCCUCCACCCUGGCCCUGCUGACCUCUGCAGCUUACCCGACUCACCGGGUGUCCCCCAGCCAAACCCAGGGGCCCUCAACUGGGAUGGACAACCCCACAAGCGCCACCACCCUGCAGAUGGAAACCAGCACCAGCACGCCGGGAAUCACCACGACUCAAAGCCACAUAACCACCACCUACACCACCAACACCCCCACUAAGAGUACAGAGGCUCUGCAGACCCCCGGGAAGGAACAGACAGAAGGGGGAACAACACAGCUGGUGGGGACCACUUCACCCACCAAGGCACCAACACCACCAACACCACCAAGAAACCCUUGUGUGUCAAACCCUUGUAUGAACGGAGGGAUGUGUGUGAGCUAUUUAGGGCAUCAGUUCACCUGCCACUGUCAGCAGGCAUGGACUGGACUGACCUGCAACCAGGAUGUGGAUGAGUGUGAGAGGGACCCCUGCCCCGUCGGCUCCAGAUGUGUGAACACCAGAGGGUCCUUCAGCUGCGAGUGUCCGCUCGGCUUCGACCUGGAGGACGGGCGCACCUGCACCAGAGCAAAGACGUUUCUGGGCACAUUCAGCGUCAACAGGCUGCCACGUGACCCUCUUAUCUUCAAGAGCGCCACCAUGCAUGAGAUCCAGAGAGAGAUCAUCCAGCUGCUCAAUGCUUCGUUGUCAGUCCUACGAGGUUACAGCCGCUCAACGCUGACUAAGAAAGAGGAGGACGGGGUUCAUAUCUCAGCUGCCAACAUGUUUUCCAUUUCCGCCGAUGUGACGAGCGCGGAGGUUUACAACAGCAUCCAGAUGUAUCUACGCAACUGCAGCUCCUCUCUGGCCCACUGCCGCAUGGUGCUGCACCACCAGCUCACUUAUCAUGUGGAAAGUCUGUGUGUGGCCCAGAAGACUGAGUGUGACGCAGAGCGCUCCUCCUGCACGGACAGCAGCGGCACGGCCAGCUGCCAGUGUCUCCACGGAUACUACAAACACACCCCCGACGACCUGUCCUGCUUAGAAUGUGGGGAUGGCUACAAGCUGGAAAAUGACACCUGUGUUCCGUGCAUGUUCGGAUUUGGAGGAUUCAACUGUGGGAAUUUGAUUUCAUAUUUCAGUUUACAAGCUGAUUGCAAUCGUGGUGUCGCCUGCAGGGGGCGCUAUGCUCCUCAUCCUCAUCAUCGCUCUCAUUGUCGUCUGUUGCAAGAAAGACAAGAACGACAUAAACAAGAUCAUCUUCAAGAGUGGCGACAUGCAGAUGUCCCCGUAUGCGGACUUCCCCAAAAAUAACCGCAUAUCCACAGAGUGGGGCAGGGAGAACAUCGAGAUGCAA